rnacentral:rRNA from 1 species
UACGAAGGGGGCUAGCGUUGGUCGGAAUAACUGGGCGUAAAGCGCAUGUAGGCGGAUCUUUAAGUCAGAGGUGAAAUCCCAGGGCUCAACCCCGGCAUUGCCUUUGAUACUGGAGAUCUGGAGUCUGGGAGAGGUGAGUGGAAUUCCGAGUGUAGAGGUGAAAUUCGUAGAUAUCCGGAGGAACACCAGUGGCGAAGGCGGCUCACUGGCCCGAGACUGACGCUGAGAUGCGAAAGCGUGGGGAGCAAACAGG